AAGUCGUAACAAGGUUUCCGUAGGUGAACCUGCGGAAGGACUAGUGAAAGCUAUUGGGUUAUAACUAAACGACUGUUAACAAUGGAUAUCUCGAUUCUC
rnacentral:misc_RNA from 1 species